rnacentral:rRNA from 1 species
CAGCAGCCGCGGUAAUACGGAGGAUCCAAGCGUUAUCCGGAUUUAUUGGGUUUAAAGGGUGCGUAGGCGGCCUAUUAAGUCAGGGGUGAAAGACGGUAGCUUAACUAUCGCAGUGCCUUUGUUACUGAUGGGCUUGAAUACACUUGAGGUAGGCGGAAUGUGACAAGUAGCGGUGAAAUGCAUAGAUAUGUCACAGAACACCAAUUGCGAAGGCAGCUUACUAAACGCUCAUUGACGCUGAGGCACGAAAGCGUGGGGAUCAAACAGGAUUAGAUACCCGAGUAGUCCCUGUCUCUUAUAC